GACGAACGCUGGCGGCGUGCUUAACACAUGCAAGUCGAACGGAAAGGCCCUGCUUUUGUGGGGUGCUCGAGUGGCGAACGGGUGAGUAACACGUGAGUAACCUGCCCUUGACUUUGGGAUAACUUCAGGAAACUGGGGCUAAUACCGGAUAGGAGCUCCUGCUGCAUGGUGGGGGUUGGAAAGUUUCGGCGGUUGGGGAUGGACUCGCGGCUUAUCAGCUUGUUGGUGGGGUAGUGGCUUACCAAGGCUUUGACGGGUAGCCGGCCUGAGAGGGUGACCGGCCACAUGGGGACUGAGAUACGGCCCAGAGUCCUACGGGAGGCAGCAGUGGGGAAUAUUGCACAAUGGGCGGAAGCCUGAUGCAGCAACGCCGCGUGCGGGAUGACGGCCUUCGGGUUGUAAACCGCUUUCGCCUGUGACGAAGCGUGAGUGACGGUAAUGGGUAAAGAAGCACCGGCUAACUACGUG
rnacentral:rRNA from 1 species